rnacentral:rRNA from 1 species
UGAGGAAUAUUGCACAAUGGGGGAAACCCUGAUGCAGCAACGCCGCGUGCGGGACGAAGGCCUUCGGGUCGUAAACCGCUUUUCUGGGGAAAGAGCAAGGACGGUACCUCAGGAAUAAGUCUCGGCUAACUACGUGCCAGCAGCCGCGGUAAAACGUAGGAGGCGAGCGUUAUCCGGAUUUACUGGGCGUAAAGCGCACGCAGGCGGCUCUGUGAGUCGGACGUGAAUGCUCCCGGCUUAACCGGGAGAGGCCGUUCGAUACUGCGGGGCUUGAGGUAGGGAGAGGAAUGCGGAAUUCCCGGUGUAGUGGUGGAAUGCGUAGAUAUCGGGAGGAACACCUGUGGCGAAAGCGGCAUUCUGGCCCUCACCUGACGCUGAGGUGCGAAAGCGUGGGUAGCAAACAG